AGGUCCAGCCUGCCCAGUGACAAAGUUCAACGGCCACGGUACCCUAACCGUGCGAAGGUAGCAUAAUCACUUGUUCUUUAAAUAGGGACUAGUAUCAACGGCAUCACGAGGGUUGCACUGUCUCCUUCCUCUAAUCAGUGAAACUGAUCUCCCCGUGAAGAAGCGGGGAUACAACUAUUAGACGAGAAGACCCCAUGGAGCUUUAAACCAAUAGCAACUCAAUUACAUAUUCCCUUUUACUCCAAGAGCCAUGCAUGUAGGUUUUAGGUUGGGGUGACCGCGGAGUACAAAUAAACCUCCACGACGAAAAGAACUAAAUCUUUAUCCAAGAGCUACAGCUCUCAGAAUUAGCACACUAACGAAUUAUGAUCCGAUGAUCGAUCAACGAACCAAGUUACCCUGGGGAUAACAGCGCAAUCUACUUCAAGAGCCCAUAUCGACAAGUAGGCUUACGACCUCCAUGUUGGAUCAGGGUACCCAAGUGGUGCAGCCGCUACUAAUGGUUCGUUUGUUCAACGAUUAAAACCCU
rnacentral:rRNA from 1 species